rnacentral:tRNA from 1 species
UGGUUCCGUUGAUCAACGGUGCCGAUCGAACCCUGCGGUGGUUCGUCGAGGACGUCUGGGCCCAUUUCGGUGACGGGUGGGAUCAGCC